rnacentral:rRNA from 1 species
GACGUAGGGGGCGAGCGUUGUCCGGAUUUAUUGGGCGUAAAGAGCGUGUAGGCGGCCAGGUAGGUCUGCUGUGAAAACUCGAGGCUCAACCUCGAGAUGUCGGCGGAAACCAUCUGGCUAGAGUCCGGAAGAGGAGAAUGGAAUUCCCGGUGUAGCGGUGAAAUGCGUAGAUAUCGGAAGGAACAUCAGUGGCGAAAGCGGCUUCCUGGACCAGAACUGACGAUCAGGCACGAAAGCGUGGGGAGCAAACAGG